UCUCACCUCUCACCUCUCACCUCUCACCUCCCACCCAAAGAGAUGUUGGGAAAAUUAUAUUACUUUCCUUAUUAUUAAUAAAAAGAAAAAAAGGAGGUCUUUUCCAACUUCCGCAGCGCCGUUCGCUCAAUAAAGCCCAGAGGAAGGGGGCAAGAAAGCACGAAGAAGAAGCCCACGGAAGGGAUAACGACGACGAAGCAAACUUCCGUGUCCCCUUAGCCCUCCUCUUUGUUCCUUCUAUUAUUCCUUCUAAUCUCCUCCAAUUUAGUCGUGGCCUCGGAUUGUGAAGAUUGAUACCGGAUUCGUUGUCGAGGGCGUGAAGAAAUCCGGUGUUUUCGGUAAAUCUUCUUCGUUCCUCUUUUUCGUUAGGUAUUGAUCUUGAUUCCUUCAAUUGUUGCUGCUAAUCUCUGCUACUUCGUUCUGGUUAUCUGCAAUUUCAAGAACUUACAUUCGAUAGAUGAUGGUGAGAUCAUGGUUAAUCCCCUAUAUUUUGUCCUCCUUUUUUUAAUCCCCUAUAUUUUGCCCUCCUUUUUUUCUUCGAAAGUAUAUUAGAAGCGUAUAUGUUUGAUGAUCAACGAUUUGUCUAAGGGAAGUUGUGAUCUUGUUGAGAUUUAACUUAGAUCGUUAAUUGUCCCUGCAAAUCUGUUUAUUGUUUCCUUUCUUGCAGGAGAUUCCAGUUUUUCAUAGGUUGGGAAGUUGAUUAAUCCGCUACUCUUUUGGUUACUUAACUAACUAGACGAGAUAAGGUUUCUUCGAAUCUUGGCUGUGUUAGGCUUUUCUACUUUUGCGGUUGUUUCUUCCAAGUUUUUCAGAGGUUACCACGCUAUUUAUGUGCAUUUAUUUGAUGCUACUCUGCAUAUUUAAGAACGCUGAUAAGAUCUUGGACAUUGGGACGUCUGUGUGUUGUAAGAAUAUAUUAAAAGCUAGUACUUCUAAUGGUAGUUCUUCCAAGUUUUCCAGGAUUGAUGGUAUCAAGGGACUGCGUUCAUGUGUCAUGGUUUUGGAAUAGGAAAAGCGAAUAUUUUUCUCUCAAAGCUUUCCAUGUAAAGCUUUUGCAUCUCUUGUUUGCUGCUAGAGCAUUACUUGGCUGAUUUAUCUUCAGGGAAGGAGAGUAUACAUUUCUAUGCCAGAUAUUGAGGGAAUGAAUCUAAGGAAUGUUUCCCUAUGGAUAAGUUGAAGGAAGCAGAAUAGCUCAUCAAUCCUUUUUAGCACUUAUUUCCGGCGUCUGUUUUCUUGAUAGGAGCUAGAAGAUGUAUUCCAACAGGCGUCAAAGUGGAAUUCAGCAAUUGUCGGCUGCAGAGCAGGAAGCACAACGCAUUGUCAAUGAGGCUAGAAAUGCUCGAUGCAUAAAACUAUAAUCUCAAAUAUUCAACCAGGAAAAUAUUUUUUAUGAUGAUACCCUGGGACUGAGGAUUUAGGGAAAUAUAAUGCAUAUGGAAGGAUAUGUAUAUUGUCAUUUCUUUCUUAGUGACUAGCUGCUAGCAGUCAUUGGAUUGCUAGAUUGUCAUGCUAUUUGAGGCAAUUGCUAGUGUGUGUCUUGGAAAAAGUGAACAAUAUGAAAACCAAACCUUCAGCUAUGUCUGAAGACCAGCCAAAGAAUCUUUCGUGCAUGUUUUCUUUUCAUAAAUUAAGUUUAGUGUUAAUAAAAUCUUAUAUUUCAUCGUGACAAAUGCACUGAGGGUUUCUUGGAUAAAGAUAUGAAAUAUUAGAUGAUUAGUGAAAAGAGAAAGGAAAAAAAAUGUAGAUUCUAUUUGAUUCAAAGAAUCACUCUUAGGGAUGAAGUUAGACAGGCUUUCUUUUUUAUAAUAUUUCAAUUUUCUUGUGGAGUUAAAAUCAUUAAUCAAGUCAAAUAAGCAUGUGCCACUUGUUGCAUAGAACUCAUCGAAAAAGUUGCAACAAAAUAAAGAUCAUUGAGACUGAACAUUGCAUAAGUGAUAGCCUCUGAAAAUUUAGGUAUGCAAAUUUCCAGCCACUUUUGAUAGACUGAACAUUGCAUUAAUCAAGCUUUACUUAUUGUUACCCUGAUUCCAUCAUUUUAACGAAAUUUAUUGAAGCUUCUAGUUUCGUUUUGUUUUGUUUUUUUUUUUUCUAGUUUCUAUUUAUUGGACAUAAGUAGCAUUGGAAAAAAAAAACCUCAUUUCAGUUUAGGGCCGGCGAGUCGCCAGUCAGAGAAUCGAUCUGGGAUAUGCA